UACGAAGGGGGCUAGCGUUGUUCGGAAUUACUGGGCGUAAAGCGCACGUAGGCGGGUCGUUAAGUCAGGGGUGAAAUCCCGGAGCUCAACUCCGGAACUGCCUUUGAUACUGGCGAUCUAGAGGUCGAGAGAGGUGAGUGGAAUUCCGAGUGUAGAGGUGAAAUUCGUAGAUAUUCGGAAGAACACCGGUGGCGAAGGCGGCGAGCUGGCCUGUACCUGACGCUGAGGCGCGACAGCGUGGGGAGCAAACAGG
rnacentral:rRNA from 1 species